rnacentral:rRNA from 1 species
GCGGUUUGGGAUCAUUAUGCCAGCAUCCUUGAUAAAAUCGCAGUCCUCAGUCUAGGCAGGCAGCAUCAACGCAGGCUAUAACACUUCACCGAAGUAAAGUCACAUUCCUACGCCAUUAUCCUACCGCCCAAACCGAUGCUGGCCCGAUAAGCUGCGGGUCACCCCGCCACGAAGGCAAGGCUCACAAAAUAUCGAGUCUGAUCUCAAACCCUUCCCUUUCAACAAUUUCACGUACUUUUUCACUCUCUUUUCAAAGUUCUUUUCAUCUUUCCAUCACUGUACUUGUUCGCUAUCGGUCUCUCGCCAAUAUUUAGCUUUAGAUGGAAUUUACCACCCACUUAGAGCUGCAUUCCCAAACAACUCGACUCUUCGAAAGCACCUUACAUAGAAUUGGGCAUCUCAUCGCACGGGAUUCUCACCCUCUGUGACGUCCUGUUCCAAGAAACAUAGACGAGAGCCAACCCCAAGGUUACAAUCUUCAAAUUACAACUCGGACACCGAAGGCGCCAGAUUUCAAAUUUGAGCUUUUGCCGCUUCACUCGCCGCUACUAAGGCAAUCCCUGUUGGUUU